GUACGCGGAGGAAGCACCGGGAGCGCGGCCGGGCGGCAGGCGGGAGCUGCGGCGGCAGGCGGCGGGGUGCCCGCAGCUCGGCUCGGCUCGGCUCGGCGGACAGCUCCCACCAUGGACGCCUAGCAUUAUUCCUGUCUGGAUUUGCUUAAAUGAUGCUGUUAUUGGGGAAAACACCAGCUAAACCCACCUGUUGAUCCUACGUCUGUAUUUGUUAUAAAGCCAGCCUGAGAAGACUUUCACCGUGCCAAGUGCUGCACUGAUGUUUUGUGGAUAUCAGCAUCUGCACAUUAGCAGGGAAGACUUGCCCAGCAUAACCCUUCUCCAUUGCCCAAGAAACCCAGCAGAUAGCCGUGUGCUUGGACUGCACUGAGGAAUUGUUUCAGGAUGCAGCUGAGAAGGAGGAGGUUAGAGGCAGCAGACGCGCCGAAGAAAACUGGAAGAACAAGAACGUGCCUUGUGUGAGCAUUCCACAGGGUGUCAGUUCACGCUCUACUCGAAAUAUCCCUCGAAAGGCACAGUUGCAAAGGUUAAGAUUCUCAUAUGAUUGAAAUAAUUCCCAUUUAUGUGUUACUUGCUGACAAAACUGUUGACUUGUUUUCUACCAUGUAUUCCAAGAUUUUAGAAUUUGCCUCUGUCAAAACCCUGAAGUGAAACAUUCUGAAGACAUUUACUGUUCAGCUUGUAAGAAACAGUUUUGUUCGAAUUGAUUGCUUUGAUUUGUUCUCUCUCUCCUUUUCACUUCCUCUUUUCUCAUCUGUGGAGUUCAAACAUUAUGAAUUUUGGAGCUAGUAUGAGGGCUUAAAAAAUCAAGAUAUGGAUUGUUUGGUGCCUCAGAUGCAGCAAGUUAUGGUAAAGCCAAUUUUUAUUGACUGCUAUAAACUAGGGAUUGUAAUUAAAACUACAAGGAGAUGCU